UACGUAGGGUGCAAGCGUUAAUCGGAAUUACUGGGCGUAAAGCGUGCGCAGGCGGUGAUGUAAGACCGUUGUGAAAUCCCCGGGCUCAACCUGGGAACUGCAUCUGUGACUGCAUCGCUGGAGUGCGGCAGAGGGGGAUGGAAUUCCGCGUGUAGCAGUGAAAUGCGUAGAUAUGCGGAGGAACACCGAUGGCGAAGGCAAUCCCCUGGGCCUGCACUGACGCUCAUGCACGAAAGCGUGGGGAGCAAACAGG
rnacentral:rRNA from 1 species